rnacentral:piRNA from 1 species
UGGUCUUUGAUGAUGGUGAUGUACAGA